rnacentral:rRNA from 1 species
UAGACCGAGGCGUUACGGGGAGUCGAAAGACGAAGUCGGUGUAGCUAUGCCUCCAAGAAAAUCUUCGCAAGUGGCGUGUAAGCCACCCGUACCAAAACCGACACAGGUAGGCGGGUAGAGAAUACCAAGGUGAUCGAGAGAACCAUCGUUAAGGAACUCGGCAAAAUGGUCUCGUAACUUCGGGAGAAGAGACGCCCCGGUAGAGUAUUAGGAUUUACUCCGAAAGCUCGAGGGGGCCGCAGUGACUCGGCCCAAGCGACUGUUUACCAAAAACACAGGUCUCUGCAUAAGUCGAAAGACGACGUAUAGGGGCUGACGCCUGCCCGGUGCCGGAUGGUCAAGAGGAGAGGUUAGCGUUAACGCGAAGCUUCGAAUCUAAGCCCCGGUAAACGGCGGCCGUAACAAUAACGGUCCUAAGGUAGCGAAAUUCCUUGUCGGGUAAGUUCCGACCUGCACGAUGGCGUAACGACUUGGGCACUGUCUCAACGAUGGACUCGGUGAAAUUGUAGUCUCGGUGAAGAUGCCGAGUAGCCGCAGCUAGACGGAAAGACCCCGUGCACCUUUACUACAGCUUGUCAUUGAAGUUUGACCAUCCAUGUCUAGGAUAGGUGGGAGACGCUGAACCAGGGACGCCAGUUCCUGGGGAGUCAUCCUUGGAAUACCACCCUUGGUUGUUUGAGCUUCUAACCUUGCGCCAUAAUCUGGGUAGGGAACGGUGGCAGGUGGGUAGUUUGACUGGGGCGGUCGCCUCCUAAAAUGUAACGGAGGCGCGCAAAGGUCAGCUCAGUACGGUCGGAAAUCGUACGUAGAGUGCAAACGUAGAAGCUGGCUUGACUGCGAGACUUACAAGUCGAGCAGGUGCGAAAGCAGGUGUUAGUGAUCCGGCAGUAGAAAGUGGAAUUGCUGUCGCUCAACGGAUAAAAGGUACGCCGGGGAUAACAGGCUGAUCUUGCCCAAGAGUCCACAUCGACGGCAAGGUUUGGCACCUCGAUGUCGGCUCGUCGCAUCCUGGGGCUGGAGUAGGUCCCAAGGGUUGGGCUGUUCGCCCAUUAAAGCGGUACGCGAGCUGGGUUCAGAACGUCGUGAGACAGUUCGGUCCCUAUCUGCUGUGGCCGUUGGAAAAUUGAUAGGAGUUGUCCCUAGUACGAGAGGACCGGGAUGAACAGACCUCUGGUGUACCAGUUGUUCUACCAAGAGCAUCGCUGGAUAGCUACGUCUGGACGGGAUAACCGCUGAAAGCAUCUAAGCGGGAAGCCCACCUAGAGAUGAAUUUUCCCUGAAGAGCCGUGGGAGACCACCACGUUGAUAGGCCACAGGUGUAAUCACGGCAACGUGUUCAGCCAAGUGGUACUAAUCACUCGUUCGAGCUUGAUUAA